GGGCGGUUAGCUCAGUGGUAGAGCGUCUGCCUUACAAGCAGAGGGUCACUGGUUCAAAUCCAGUACCGCCCA
rnacentral:tRNA from 1 species